rnacentral:rRNA from 1 species
GUGGGGAAUAUUGGACAAUGGGCGCAAGCCUGAUCCAGCCAUGCCGCGUGAGUGAAGAAGGCCCUAGGGUUGUAAAGCUCUUUCACCGGGGAAGAUAAUGACGGUACCCGGAGAAGAAGCCCCGGCUAACUCCGUGCCAGCAGCCGCGGUAAGACGGAGGGGGCUAGCGUUGUUCGGAAUUACUGGGCGUAAAGCGCGCGUAGGCGGAUUCCCAAGUUGGGCGUGAAAGCCCGGGGCUCAACCCCGGAACUGCGCUCAAAACUGGGUCACUCGAGUCCGGGAGAGGAUAGCGGAAUUCCCAGUGUAGAGGUGAAAUUCGUAGAUAUUGGGAAGAACACCAGUGGCGAAGGCGGCUAUCUGGACCGGUACUGACGCUGAGGUGCGAAAGCGUGGGGAGCAAACAGG